UUUAAUGAGAACUCCGGAUUGGCCUCCUUUGCGCUGCCUCGUGUGGUGCAUUGCGUGGCCGAGAAGUUGUUCAAAUUUGAUCAUUUAGAGGAAGUAAAAGUCGUAACAAGGUUUCCGUAGGUGAACCUGCGGAAGGAUCAUUACUGUGCCGCUUGUGUGCUUAUAUACACUGUGAACUGAUAGUUGGGAGCGAGCGCGGGAUCGUGUGCGUAAGUGUUGUUACAACACCCGCACACGGACCGCCGACAUUUACCUUUUCAAACGUACCUAUUGUAGCCCAUGUAAACUGUGCGAAAUUAUUAAAAAGAGAAAACUGCUGACGGCGGAUCUCUUGGUUCGUGUAUCGAUGAAGAACGUAGCCAGUUGCGAAAAGUAAUGUGAAUUGCAGAAUGAAGUGAAUCAUCGAAUCUUUGAACGCAAAUUGCACUCCUUGGAAUUCCAUUGAGUAUGUCUGUCUGAGUGUCUUGACAAACCUUACACGCUCCGUGUGAACUCGGGCUCCUGGUCACCGCUGGUGACUCGCGCCUGCAAGACCCUACUCGGCAACGCUUGAGACAACAACAAGGUUUAACAAGCUAGCCAGUCUAAUCCAACUAUGGACCUCAGAUCAGGCAAGACUACCCGCUGAAUUUAAGCAUAUUAAUAAGCGGAGGAAAAGAAACUAACUA
rnacentral:rRNA from 1 species